ACCCUCUAGCGAGCUUCGUUGGCCCUCACCGGUCCUCCCAAGCCCGCUCACCGCCGCCCAGGGCCUCCGGAACGCCGCCGCCGCGGCACAGCAUCGCCGCCGUCCGCAGCUCGCCGUCGAGCUCGUCGUUCCGCCCUCUCCCCGCCCAAAACAACUUCGGGAACGGCUUCACCUCGCCCCAACGGAGCUCCCAAGCCCAGCCACCUCCGCACAUGGCCGCCGGAACGCCGCCGCCGGUGAACAGACCCGCCGCCGCCCCUUGCUUCACGCCGGCGAGCCCCGUCCGGCCAUCCCCGCGAGCCCCGAGACCACCCGCAGAAAUCGUAGCAAGGACGUCGUCUAUAAAUUUGGUCAUCUAUAAAUUUGGUCAUGAAGCUAGGAGCUAGCGAAGCAAGCCGAGGAAGGAACUUGUGAAGAUCCGGCCCAAGGCCGAGAGAAAUACUAA